AAAUGUGUGUUUUGGUCAAGUGUAAAUUGACCUCAUUUAAAUGGUAUCCAUAUAUGAUAUGAUGAAUUGUAUUCAUACCUACGAGGUAAUUGAGCUACUGUAAUUUGUUUACAUGUUUUUGUAUAUUCUAUAAUUCGCACUUGCUUCUCGUAGGAGCCACAUCUUGCGUAUUCUUGAUUACAUCUAUAUCUGGCUGGCCAUCUGUGAUUUCUCUGUAGAAUCUCAGCAAGAAUCUAUGCAAAAGAUUUUUUCCUGGCCAGAAAUAACAACAAAGGCUGGCUAGACAACACAUAAUAGUGCUUGUAAAAGCAAUAGGAACAAUAUGAGUUUCAACUUCAGAGAUAGGGCAAUUUGCAACUACAGAGUAGAGUAUUGCAACAGAAAGAGCCAGCUGCUCAGGAUUCCCGUACAACAAGAAGCAACAUACGACUCUGGAGGUACCUUACAAAUAUGUCUUGCAUAUUUUGGUUACCUGUAUGCUAUUUAAGAUAAAGAGAUGAUAUUUAGCAAUUUCAUAAUGAUACGAUACCCAUAUGAUUUAUUCCCAGAAAGUGAAACGUUUGAAUAUGUAAAGCAGCAGACCGAUAUAGUGAUAAAAUGUAAGUUCAACAGGUGUUAAAAUGGUAUUUAAUAGAAAAUCCGUGUGACAUUAUAGCAAUCUUUCAAUCCACCAAAUCAAGUACCUCCCGCUGAAACUUCUCUGCAGGAAAUAGCCUGCAUUGUGAUUCAUGCACAUAUUAAACACUAUACUUGCUAAAUCAAUCAGCAAGAUUGUAAAAUGUCAUCAUGUCACAUAACUAAAGUCAACUUCGAAACAUGUGAAAAAGGUUUCUAUGAACUUCUUAAAAACUUACCUCUCAUAUCCAGUUACUACCCUUGAAAUGGAAUUUGGUGAUAAAAUUUCCAUUUUUGUCCUUGCCCCUUGGUCUCCGUGUGAUCCAGCAAUCUCUUGAACUCUCCAUCCUCUAGCUCUACCAAGAAGCAAGCUCGGACAAGACAAUAUCUUGCACCUCAUCUUGUCUGUAACGAGCUGAUAUCUGAGCUUGGGCUGCAUAUGACACCCCUUGUCUAAAGGGAUCACAAUCGUAAAUCAUCCCUCGAGGAUAAUUUGCUAAGAGAGUAUCCAAGGAAAGGGGGCCAUCCUCAAAAAAUGGCAUGCAUGCAUUAAUCGUACACCUCCAGUAGUUGUCCAUCACAGGAACGUAGCCGUCAACUCCGUGUCUGAGAAAUCUCCUAGCCCAUAAUCUAUCACAAUCCUCCUCCAAAGCAUACCAAUGUAAAUACAUCUUCUUAAGAAGGUCCUGAGGAAGAGCAUUCACGUGACUGACAACAUAGGGCAUCCAAGCAUCCAUCCAUUUGUCGUCAUUCUUGCACAACCGACGAAGUACCAACUGACCAUGUGCAUCUCGUCGAAAGUAGAUGGGAACAAGGUUAUGUAUCACAAACCCAGCUGGGGUGUUUGUGAGACGAACCUCCACAUUCAUUAUUUUACCUGCAAUUAUUA